ensembl:lncRNA
AGGCAUGAGAACGCCUCCGCCCUCCAGCCUUGCUUCCUGGUGAUGUCAUAUACGGUGAUGUGAAAAUCCGUGACUCCUAUUGGUGACAAAGUCACAGUAUUGAGGGCUCCUGGCCCCCUAAACCGACUGGGUGAACAAAUCUGCCUGCCGAGGCUGAGAGGUGGUCUUGGCGGUAGAGGGGACGGGAGCCAGCAGUUCCUGAAACGCUCUAGCAACGCUCUCACACCUGCAUCCUUGAAUUGGAAGAUGUGCUCCCAGAAGUUUCCUUGAGAGAGCGACAGCUGCUGCUAUUUAGAGACUUCCUGUAAACCCACUGCCCGGAAAGCUGAGCUGGUUGACGUGGGACGCGCUCUGGCUACUGGCUCAGACGAGGUGGCGGGGGCAGGGAGGCAGCUGACGGGACGAAUGCCCCCAAGGGGUGCGCUGCUCGCCGUCUUGUUUUUAUGUCCAGAAUCACGGAAUGGGAAGCAGCAGCGCAAAAAGUGCCUGUUCAGCCCCUGCCCUGGAGAGCAUUUAUAAAUUGUUAUUUAAAACGUUC